rnacentral:rRNA from 1 species
UUUGGGAAUGCAGCUCAAAAUGGGUGGUAAAUUCCAUCUAAAGCUAAAUAUUGGCGAGAGACCGAUAGCGAACAAGUACCGUGAGGGAAAGAUGAAAAGAACUUUGGAAAGAGAGUUAAACAGUACGUGAAAUUGCUGAAAGGGAAACGCUUGAAGUCAGUCGCGUUGUCUGGGAAUCAACCUUGCUUUUGCUGGGCGUACUUUCCAGAUAAUGGGUCAGCAUCAAUUUUGAUCGUUGGAUAAAGUCAGAAGGAAUGUGGCAUCUUCGGAUGUGUUAUAGCCUUUUGUUGCAUACAACGGUUGGGAUUGAGGAACUCAGCACGCCGCAAGGCCGGGUACUUGUACCACGUUCGUGCUUAGGAUGCUGGCAUAAUGACUUUAAUCUGACCCGUCUUGAAACACGGACCAAGGAGUCUAACAUGCCUGCGAGUAUUUGGGUGGAAAACCCGAGUGCGCAAUGAAAGUGAAAGUUGAGAUCCCUGUCAUGGGGAGCAUCGACGCCCGG